CGCGCGAUAAGCGUAGCAAUACGCAGAAAGCGGCGUAAGGGAGAGUAAUACAUGGUUAGCUACCCUCGGGACUGGGAUAGCGGCGGGAAACUGCCGGUAAUACCAGAUGAUGUCUUCGGACCAAACGUGUGAAUCGGCCCGAGGAGGCGACCAUGUCCUAUCAGCUUGUUGGCGGGGUAAUGGCCCACCAAGGCAAAGACGGGUAUGGGGCGUGAGAGCGUGCCCCCACUCACUGGGACUGAGAUACUGCCCAGACACCUACGGGUGGCUGCAGUCGAGAAUCUUCGGCAAUGGGCGCAAGCCUGACCGAGCGACGCCGCGUGCGGGAUGAAGGCCUUCGGGUUGUAAACCGCUGUCGUAGGGGAGGAAGGCUCCGUGCAGAACGGAGUUUGACCGAUCCUAGGAGGAAGGGCCGGCUAAUCUCGUGCCAGCAGCCGCGGUAAUACGAGAGGCCCAAACGUUAUUCGGAUUUACUGGGCUUAAAGAGUUCGUAGGCUGCACAGAAAGUAGGGUGUGAAAGCCCUCGGCUCAACCGAGGAAUUGCGCUCUAAACUGCUGUGCUUGAGGAACCUAGAGGUGAGCAGAACUGAUGGUGGAGCGGUGAAAUGC
rnacentral:rRNA from 1 species